GACGAACGCUGGCGGCGCGCUUAACACAUGCAAGUCGAGCGAGAACCCACCUUCGGGUGGGGGAAAGCGGCGAACGGGUGAGUAACACGUGGGCAACCCACCCUUGGUACCGGGAUAGCCCGGGGAAACUCGGAUUAAUACCGGAUGGCCCAGCAGCUCUUCGGGGCGGCUGGAAAAGGUAGCUUCGGCCUCCGACCAAGGACGGGCCCGCGGCGGAUUAGCUUGUUGGUGAGGUAACGGCUCACCAAGGCGACGAUCCGUAGCUGGUCU
rnacentral:rRNA from 1 species